GAGCCUUGAGCUCUUUGAAGGGUCGUUCGAGACCAGGACGUUGAUAGGUCAGGUGUGGAAGUGCAGUAAUGCAUUAAGCUAACUGAUACUAAUUGCCCGUACGGCUUGUCCCUAUAACCUUAGCAGGGUAUA
rnacentral:rRNA from 2 species